GACGAACGCUGGCGGCGUGCUUAACACAUGCAAGUCGAACGCUGAAGCUCAGCUUUUGUUGGGUGGAUGAGUGGCGAACGGGUGAGUAACACGUGAGUAACCUGCCCCCUUCUUUGGGAUAACGCCCGGAAACGGGUGCUAAUACUGGAUAUUCACUGGUCUUCGCAUGGGGGUUGGUGGAAAGGGUUUUUCUGGUGGGGGAUGGGCUCGCGGCCUAUCAGCUUGUUGGUGGGGUGAUGGCCUACCAAGGCUUUGACGGGUAGCCGGCCUGAGAGGGUGACCGGUCACAUUGGGACGGAGAUACGGCCCAGACUCGUACGGGAGGCAGCAGUGGGGAAUAUUGCACAAUGGGCGCAAGCCUGAUGCAGCGACGCCGCGUGAGGGAUGGAGGCCUUCGGGUUGUGAACCUCUUUCGCUCAUGGUCAAGCCGCAACAAUGGUUGUGGUGAGGGUAGUGGGUAAAGAAGCGCCGGCUAACUACGUG
rnacentral:rRNA from 1 species